rnacentral:lncRNA from 1 species
UCGAUAAUAAUUAAACUAUAUCAAUAAGGCAUUUACAAUCCAAAUAUAUAUCAACUGCUCAAUUAUACACAUUUGUUGCAAUUAUUUCAAGUAUUUAAAAGUUCGAUUCUAAUUAUACAAACUUACCUCGAUUUGCUCGGAUGAAAACUAUCGACUAUUCGUCUACUUUUCUUUUUCCCCGAUCUAAUUCUAACCUCGGUUUAUCUUGAUGUAUAUAAUAUCAAAUUCAGUACAUUCAGUAUUCAAUCAAUCCAAUUUAGUCCAUAAUCAUCUUAUGGCAAAGUUUACACUUUUGCCCCUACUAUUUUGACAUUUUUACAAUUUAGUCUCUUUUUCACAUAAAAUUGCAAAUUCAUCCAAUUAGACCCUUAACUAUGCUAGAAAAAUUUCAUAGAGACUCCUAGCAGCCCAUAUCUUUCAUUAUUUCAUAUUUUU